AUGGAAAAUAGAAAUACCUUUUCUUGGGUAAAGGAACAGAUAACUCGAUCGAUUUCUGUAUCGAUCAUGAUAUACGUAAUAACUCGGACAUCUAUUUCAAAUGCAUAUCCCAUUUUUGCGCAGCAGGGUUAUGAAAACCCACGAGAAGCAACUGGACGAAUUGUAUGUGCCAAUUGCCAUUUAGCUAGCAAGCCCGUCGAUAUUGAAGUUCCCCAAGCUGUGCUUCCCGAUACUGUAUUUGAAGCAGUUCUUCGAAUUCCUUAUGAUAUGCAAUUGAAACAAGUUCUUGCUAAUGGAAAAAAGGGAGGGUUGAAUGUAGGUGCUGUUCUUAUUUUGCCCGAGGGAUUCGAAUUAGCGCCGCCCGAUCGUAUUUCCCCUGAGUUAAAAGAAAAGAUAGGAAAUCUUGCUUUUCAGAGUUAUCAUCCCGAUAAAAAAAACAUUCUUGUGAUAGGCCCUGUUCCCGGUAAGAAAUAUAGUGAAAUUGUCUUUCCCAUUCUUUCCCCUGAUCCUGCUACGAAGAAAGAUGCUCAUUUCUUAAAAUAUCCCAUAUAUGUAGGGGGAAACCGAGGAAGAGGACAGAUCUAUCCUGAUGGUAGCAAGAGUAACAAUACAGUCUAUAAUGCUACGUCAACAGGUAUAGUAAGAAAAAUACUACGUAAAGAAAAAGGGGGGUAUGAAAUAUCCAUAGUUGAUGCAUCAGAUGGACGCCAAGUGAUUGAUAUUAUACCUCCCGGACCAGAACUUCUUGUUUCAGAGGGGGAAUCCAUCAAGCUUGAUCAACCAUUAACAAGCAAUCCUAAUGUGGGAGGUUUUGGUCAGGGGGACGCAGAAAUCGUGCUUCAGGAUCCAUUACGUGUCCAAGGCCUUUUGUUCUUCUUCGCAUCCAUUAUUUUGGCACAAGUUUUUUUGGUUCUCAAAAAGAAACAGUUUGAAAAGGUUCAAUUGUACGAAAUGAAUUUCUAG
rnacentral:rRNA from 1 species